CAGUUCGGAUUGUAGUCUGCAACCCGACUACAUGAAGCCGGAAUCGCUAGUAAUCGCGGAUCAGAAUGCCGCGGUGAAUACGUUCCCGGGUCUUGUACACACCGCCCGUCACACCAUGGGAGUUGGAAAUGCCCGAAGUCAGUGGCCCAACCGGAAGGGGGGAGCUGCCGAAGGCAGGUUCGAUGACUGGGGUGAAGUCGUAACAAGGUAAC
rnacentral:rRNA from 1 species